rfam:Glossina pallidipes, whole genome shotgun sequence.
UAAAAGAUUAAUUUUUAGUACAAUCAAGAUUCUUCUAUAAAUUUGAUUUUCAACCCAUUCAAGCAUAGGAAUAUAGUAUUGGCACGUAUAGCAGGAAUAAACAUUCCAGAA